UUACUUAACUGCAAAAUCUGUGCGGGUCUCCAACAGUCAAAACCAAAAUGACCUUUAAUUUUAAACUCCAAAGAUCCACACCGAUACUGUAGUUGCAUAGCGUUGCUCGAUCGCUAACCAAAAAAAUAAAAAUAAAAAAAAUGCUAAAAGGUUGACAGAUUUCAGAGCUUAGAUUGAUAGAUAGUUAGAUAGGUUAAACACACCGAAAGGUAAAAAUGGAGUUUACUGAAGCUUAUAAGCAGACGGGUCCUUGUUGUUUCUCUCCAAACUCCCGUUACAUCGCUGUUGCUGUCGAUUACCGUCUCGUGAUUCGUGACACGCUCUCUUUUAAGGUUGUGCAGUUGUUUUCAUGCUUGGAUAAGAUAAACUAUAUAGAAUGGGCAAAUGAUUCUGAGUACAUCCUUUGCGGUCUGAAUAAAAGACCGAUGAUACAAGCAUGGUCAUUGACUCAACCUGAGUGGACAUGCAAAAUAGAUGAAGGUCCUGCUGGUAUUGCAUAUUCUAGAUGGAGUCCUGACAGCCGGCAUAUACUUGCCACUUCAGAUUUUCAGUUGAGGCUAACAGUUUGGUCACUUCUGAACACAGCAUGUGUUCACGUCCAGGGGCCAAAGCAUUGCUCUAAAGGGGUUUCUUUCACUAAAGAUGGGAAAUAUGCUGCGAUUUGUACGAGGCGUGAUUGCAAGGAUUAUGUAAAUCUACUGUCAUGUCAUACAUGGGAAAUAAUGGGUGUGUUUGCUGUUGAUACAUUGGACUUAGCUGAUAUAGAGUGGUCGCCAGAUGAUAGUGCUAUAGUAAUAUGGGAUGCACCACUUGAAUUCAAGGUUCUAAUUUACUCCCCAGAUGGGAGAUGCCUAUCCAAGUAUCAAGCAUAUGAAAGUGGACUGGGUGUAAAAAGUGUUUCGUGGUCGCCUUGUGGCCAAUAUCUAGCUGUGGGUAGUUAUGAUCAGAUGUUGCGAGUUUUGAAUCACUUAACUUGGAAAACAUUUGCUGAAUUCAUGCACCUAUCCACUGUCCGUGGUCCUUGUUGUGCUGCUGUUUUCAAGGAGGUAGACGAGCCAUUGCACCUCAAUAUGUCUGAGUUAUGCUUGAGUGAAGAGUUUCUCCAAGGAAAUUCUGAUGUUUCAGGAGGACACUUCCGAGUCAUGUAUGAUGUUACUGAAGUACCUAUUAGCUUGCCUUUCCAGAAGCCUCUUGCAGACAAACCAAAUCCUAAACAAGGCAUUGGUCUUAUGCAUUGGAGUAAAGACAGCCGAUACAUUUAUACACGUAAUGAUAGCAUGCCCACUGCUCUGUGGAUAUGGGAUAUACACCAUCUAGAGCUCGCUGCCAUCUUGGUGCAGAAGGAUCCCAUACGAGCAGCAGCAUGGGACCCAACAUGCACACGUCUUGUUCUCUGUACUGGCAGCUCUCACUUGUAUAUGUGGACCCCAUCAGGUGCUUACUGCGUGAGUAAUCCUCUACCACAGUUUAACAUAACUGAUUUGAAAUGGAAUUCAGAUGGAAGUUGCCUCCUCCUCAAAGACAAGGAGUCGUUCUGCUGUGCGUCUGUGCCCUUAUUUCCCGAAUCUAGUGAAUAUAGUUCAGAUGACUGAGGCAUGUCUCCAUUUUUUAAUCCAGGUGGCUUGCAAACUUAACAAAAAAAAACUAUACUACAAAAACAGGGCAUCAGUGUUUAACCAAAUAUUUCGAUUCUCCUUAUCUCUGUAAAAAGUUUUUGUAGGGUUCCCAAUUGUAGUAGAGAAAUUAGCUGACAAGUUUUUUAGUUGGAAAUGAGCUGUUCUGUUAAAGAAGAAAGUUUUUAAAUCGUCAGAAGUGAAAAACUUGAAGAACCAUUACUCGAUUUCCGAAAGAGGAUACUCGCGACACAGGUUUGGCCGGUCUCGGGGUGUGUGUGUGUCAAGACAAUGGCAAAACGAAUGAAACUAUGCCGAACGACAUUUAUCCCGUGUCGAGACAAAUCAAUAACGGAAGUCAAAUUUAUACUAACAUUUGUCUGAGUUUCAUGGAAUCAGCUAUCCCUUGGCGAAGCUGCAAGUAAACUGUGAUAGAAACAAAGCAAGCAUGUACCGACUGCAUGCAAUAAACCCUACCAUACACUGCAUUUUUUUAUGAUGUAUCACAGCUUUGUAAUUAGAAAGUUCUCGAGUUUUGAUACCACCAAACAUUACAAGCUGACUAAAACUUCCCAGUGGUUUUUUAUUUUGGGUUCUCUGUGUCACUAUCUUCGUUUCAAGUUCAUUGAGAGACGUCAAGAAAUGGAUUCUCUCGUAAAUGCCCUGUCUGCAAACGGCAAGCUGGCUUGCGAAUUGUAAAUGCAGGAUGCAAAGAGUUUAGCCAUAUCUUAGACGAUACUUAACUGCAUGUGACAAAAGUAAUCUGCUACUGAACCGAUGCUUUCGGCUUCUUGACCUGAAGUGUUUUUAUCAGUAAUAGAAAUUAAAAGAAUCCACUGGCCGCAUGCAUCAAUGCCCUCAUUUUCAA